rnacentral:misc_RNA from 1 species
GAUGAAGAACGUAGCGAAAUGCGAUAAGUAAUGUGAAUUGCAGAAUUCAGUGAAUCAUCGAAUCUUUGAACGCACAUUGCGCCCGCCAGUAUUCUGGCGGGCAUGCCUGUUCGAGCGUCAUUACAACCCUCAGGCCCCCGGGCCUGGCGUUGGGGAUCGGCGGAGCCCCCCGUGGGCACACGCCGUCCCCCAAAUGCAGUGGCGGUCCCGCCGCAGCUUCCAUCGCGUAGUAGCUAACACCUCGCGACUGGAGAGCGGCGCGGCCACGCCGUAAAACACCCAACUCUUCUGAAGUUGACCUCGAAUCAGGUAGGAACACCCGCUGAACUUAAGCAUAUCAAUAAGCGGAGGA